rnacentral:rRNA from 1 species
GGGGCAAUAACACUGCAGUCGAACGGACUUAACUCAUUCUUUUAGAUUGAGAGCGGUUAGUGGCGGACUGGUGAGUAACACGUAAGCAACCUGCCUAUCAGAGGGGAAUAACAGUGAGAAAUCAUUGCUAAUACCGCAUAUGCUCACAGUAUCACAUGAUACAGUGAGGAAAGGAGUAAUCCGCUGAUAGAUGGGCUUGCGUCUGAUUAGUUAGUUGGUGGGGUAACGGCCUACCAAGACUACGAUCAGUAGCCGGACUGAGAGGUUGAACGGCCACAUUGGGACUGAGAUACGGCCCAGACUCCUACGGGAGGCAGCAGUCGGGAAUAUUGCGCAAUGGAGGAAACUCUGACGCAGUGACGCCGCGUAUAGGAAGAAGGUUUUCGGAUUGUAAACUAUUGUCAUUAGGGAAGAUAAAAGACUGUACCUAAGGAGGAAGCCCCGGCUAACUAUGUGCCAGCAGCCGCGGUAAUACAUAGGGGGCAAGCGUUAUCCGGAAUUAUUGGGUGUAAAGGGUGCGUAGACGGAAGAACAAGUUGGUUGUGAAAUCCCUCGGCUCAACUGAGGAACUGCAACCAAAACUAUUCUCCUUGAGUGUCGGAGAGGAAAGUGGAAUUCCUAGUGUAGCGGUGAAAUGCGUAGAUAUUAGGAGGAACACCAGUGGCGAAGGCGACUUUCUGGACGAUAACUGACGUUGAGGCACGAAAGUGUGGGGAGCAAACAGGAUUAGAUACCCUGGUAGUCCACACUGUAAACGAUGGAUACUAGGUGUANGAUGUAUUAAGCAUUCUGUGCCGCCG